rnacentral:ncRNA from 1 species
ACCGAAAUUGCGGGUUAUGAUGUAUCUAAUAAUGUGUAUCAUAAUAAGAAGAUAAAUUUUCUGUUAAAAACAUGAAAUGUUUUUAACCAAAAUGUUCAAAAGGAUAAGGUAUACAAGAAAAGGUGCAUAUUAUUAGAUACAUUGUAGCGGUAGAGGAGCAUUCUGUAGUAGGGUGAAGUAUGAUCGAAAGGACAUAUGGACGAGGCAGAAGAGAGAAUGCUGGAAUAAGUAGCGAGAGCAAAGUGAGAAUCUUUGCCGUCGAAAGUCUAAGGUUUCCUGGGGAAGGUUCGUCCGCCCAGGGUAAGUCGGGACCUAAGGUGAGGCCAAGGAGGCGUAGCCGAUGGAUAGCAGGUAUAAAAUUCCUGCACUACCGAAAUACUUAAAAACGAUAAGGGACGCAGGAGAGGAAGGAAAUCCGGGAAGAGGAAAAACCGGAGCCGAAAGGCAUAGUGAAAAUUUAAAGUAACGAAGUUCCAAGAAUCACACUGACGAGAAAAGCUUAUUGACAUUGUAUUAAGGUACCCGUACCGCAAACCGACACAGGUAGAUGAGGAGAGGAUCCUAAGACGAGCGAGAGAAGUACUGUUAAGGAACUCGGCAAACUAACCCCGUAACUUAGGGAGAAGGGGUACCUAUGUAAAAGUAGGUCGCAGAGAAGAGUCCCAAGCAACUGUUUAACAAAAACACAGGUUUCUGCUAAAUCGAAAGAUGAAGUAUAGGAGCUGA